UACGUAGGGUGCAAGCGUUGUCCGGAAUUAUUGGGCGUAAAGAGCUCGUAGGCGGUCUGUCGCGUCGGCUGUGAAAACCCGGGGCUCCAACCCCGGGCCUGCAGUCGAUACGGGCAGACUAGAGUGUGGUAGGGGAGACUGGAAUUCCUGGUGUAGCGGUGAAAUGCGCAGAUAUCAGGAGGAACACCGGUGGCGAAGGCGGGUCUCUGGGCCGAUACUGACGCUGAGGAGCGAAAGCAUGGGUAGCGAACAGG
rnacentral:rRNA from 1 species